AAACUUUCAACAAUGGAUCUCUUGGCUCUUGCAUCGAUGAAGAACGCAGUGAAGUGUGAUAUGUAGUGUGAAUUGCAGAAUUCCGUGAAUCAUCGAAUCUUUGAACGCAUAUUGCACUCUCUGGUAUUCCGGAGAGUAUGCCUAUUUGAGGGUCAUGU
rnacentral:rRNA from 1 species